UACAGAGGUCUCAAGCGUUGUUCGGAUUCAUUGGGCGUAAAGGGCGCGUAGGCGGCGGGGUAAGUCGGGUGUGAAAUCUCAGAGCUCAACUCUGAAACUGCACUCGAUACUGCUCUGCUUGAGGACUAGAGAGGAGACUGGAAUUCACGGUGUAGCAGUGAAAUGCGUAGAUAUCGUGAGGAAGACCAGUGGCGAAGGCGGGUCUCUGGACAGUUCCUGACGCUGAGGCGCGAAGGCCAGGGGAGCAAACGGGG
rnacentral:rRNA from 1 species